rnacentral:rRNA from 1 species
UAUUGAAACACCGGUUACCAUACAAACACCAAAGUUAAGCAACAUUGAGCCUAGUCAGCACCUAAAUGGGUGACUGCUUGGAAAUACCAGCUGCUGUAAG